UCUGGAAGAAUCUGGAGACAGGUGCUGCAUGGCUGUCGUCAGCUCGUGUCGUGAGAUGUUCGGGUUAAGUCCCGCAACGAGCGCAACCCUUGCCUUUAGUUGCCAGCAGUUCGGCUGGGCACUCUAAAGGGACUGCCGGUGUUAAACCGGAGGAAGGUGGGGAUGACGUCAAGUCCUCAUGGCCUUUAUGGACCAGGGCUACACACGUACUACAAUGGCCGAUACAAAGGGCAGCGACACUGCGAGGUGAAGCCAAUCCCGUAAAAUACGGUCUCCAGUCCGGAUUGGAGUCUGCAACUCGACUCCAUGAAGUUGGAAUCGCUAGUAAUCGUGGAUCAGCAUGCCACGGUGAAUACGUUCCCGGGCCUU
rnacentral:rRNA from 1 species